GAAUUUCCACAGCACAUAUACUAAAAUUGGAAUGAUACAGAGAAGAUUAGCAUGGCCCCUGCGCCAUUUUGGAAUCUGAGGUAUGACCUGUCAUGAAUUUGA
rnacentral:snRNA from 1 species